rnacentral:rRNA from 1 species
UACGGGGGGGGCAAGCGUUGUUCGGAAUUACUGGGCGUAAAGGGCUCGUAGGCGGCCAACUAAGUCACACGUGAAAUCCCCAGGCUUAACCUGGGAACUGCGUGUGAUACUGGAUGGCUUGAAUUCGGGAGAGGGAUGCAGAAUUCCAGGUGUAGCGGUGAAAUGCGUAGAUAUCUGGAGGAAUACCGGUGGCGAAGGCGGCAUCCUGGACCGACAUUGACGCUGAGGAGCGAAAGCUAGGGGAUCAAACGGG